rnacentral:tRNA from 1 species
GCCCGCCUAGCUCAAUCGGAUAGAGCGUCAGACUUUUAUCCAUACCCUAGGGUUCGGGCAUCUGAAGGCUGCGGGUUCGACCCCCGCGGUGGGCU